rnacentral:misc_RNA from 1 species
AAGCCCUAGUUCAAAAGUAACAGUUAAUUAUCCCGCCGUUUCAUUUUCAGCGGGAUCAGUCCCUCCAUUGCUCAGUUGACGAAAUAAUUUUGAGUUGCAGAGAGUUAAAAGAGUUGAAAUAUGGAAGAGUUAGCAGAAGGAGUGAGCAAUUUGAACCUGGUUGAUUCUCAGAAGAAGAAUCGGAUUCAAGUAUCUAAUACUAAGAAACCUCUGUUCUUCUACGUUAAUCUAUCCAAGAGGUAUAUGCAGCAGUAUAAUGAAGUGGAGCUUUCAGCUUUGGGAAUGGCGA